CUUGUUUAGUGUCUUCUUUUUCUUUAACUCUAAAACCCAGCCUGGCACCGUGACAGAUUAUCGGGAGUCAAAAGCUGAGGCGAGGUUUUGAUGGGAAAACUGGUCCACACAGAGCUCUCCCUAUUCCACAAUUGCAAGAUCGAACAUCUCCCUUAAAUAUGUGAAAGAAAAAUUGUUGGUUGUCGAGUGAAUUCUCUGCUUGGAAAAAAACUGCCUCUUCUUAAUCUACAAGUUCAAUAAAAGUUCAAAAGUUGAUCGGUG
rnacentral:lncRNA from 1 species